GGCUAACGCUGGCGGCGCGCCUAACACAUGCAAGUCGAACGAACCCUUCGGGGUUAGUGGCAGACGGGUGAGUAACGCGUGGAUAAUGUGCCUUCUUGCUGGGGAUACCGUUUCGAAAGGAACGUUAAUACCGUAAUGUGCUCAUCUGGUGGCAUCACCUAAUGAGUAAACUUUCAGGGCGAGAAGAGCAAUCCGCGUUCUAUCAGCUUGUUGGUGGGGUAACGGCCUACCAAGGCUACGACGGAUAACUGGUCUGAGAGGAUGAUCAGUCACACUGGAACUGAGACACGGUCCAGACUCCUACGGGAGGCAGCAGUGAGGAAUCUUGCACAAUGGGCGAAAGCCUGAUGCAGCGACGCCGCGUGAGGGACUAAGGCCUUCGGGUUGUAAACCUCUGUCAGUAGGGAAGAAGAUUGACGGUACCUACUGAGGAAGCUUCGGCUAACUACGUG
rnacentral:rRNA from 1 species